rnacentral:rRNA from 1 species
AGGACGAACGCUUGCGGCGUGCCUAAGAAAUGCAAGUCGAGCGGGAGUAGCAAUACUCUAGCGGCGAACGGUCGCGUAACACGUAGCCAACCUGCCCAGAAGACCGGGACAACACUCCGAAAGGGGUGCUAAUACCGGAUGUGCCCAUUUUGCCACAUGGCUUAAUGAGUAAAUCAUUUAUGGCUUCUGGAGGGGGCUGCGGCCUAUCAGCUAGAUGGUGGGGUAACGGCCUACCAUGGCGUCGACGGGUAGCUGGUCUGAGAGGAUGGUCAGCCGGACUGGGACUGAGAUACGGCCCAGACUCCUACGGGGGCAGCAAUUAGGAAUCUUGCGCAAUGGGGGCAACCCUGACGCAGCGACGCCGCGUGGAGGAUGACGGCCUUCGGGUUGUAACUCCUUUAUCGGGGAAGAAACGAAUGACGGUACCCGAUGAAUAAGCCCCGGCUAACUCCGUGCCAGCAGCCGC